UACGUAGGGGGCAAGCGUUGUCCGGAUUUAUUGGGCGUAAAGAGCGUGUAGGCGGUCUGUUGCGUCGGCUGUGAAAACCCGGGGCUCAACUCCGGGCCUGCAGCCGAUACGGGCAGACUAGAGUUCGGCAGGGGAGACUGGAAUUCCUGGUGUAGCGGUGAAAUGCGCAGAUAUCAGGAGGAACACCGGUGGCGAAGGCGGGUCUCUGGGCCGAUACUGACGCUGAGGAGCGAAAGCGUGGGGAGCGAACAGG
rnacentral:rRNA from 1 species